CAAUGAACGAUCAAAACCUUUCCCUAACCACCUUAAACAAUUACUCGGUUUAACGACUUGAAAGAAAACAAUUUUUAAACCAGCUUAGGUGCACUACAACACGUGCCGCUGUAGCAGGAAAAUCCAUCCAAGGAGGAGUUACCAUGUACACCUUCAGGAAAAUUUAAGCCCUAUUUGUAUUUAUUCCCAUGUUCUCAGACUUACCAACAAAUCUGAAACUCCAGAACUCCAUUUAAUUCUAUUCAGAUGAAGAGUGACAUGCCAC